rnacentral:rRNA from 1 species
UACAGAGGUGGCAAGCGUUGUUCGGAAUUACUGGGCGUAAAGGGCGCGUAGGCGGCUUUCUAAGUCGGACGUGAAAUCCCUAGGCUUAACCUAGGAACUGCGUCCGAUACUGGGAGGCUUGAGUUCGGGAGAGGGAUGUAGAAUUCCAGGUGUAGCGGUGAAAUGCGUAGAUAUCUGGAGGAAUACCGGUGGCGAAGGCGGCAUCCUGGACCGAAACUGACGCUGAGGCGCGAAAGCUAGGGUAGCAAACGGG